GAUAUAGGAAAUAUUACAUAGACGAUUCGACAACCGACAAUACUACCUGUCUUAUGAAGACCUACGCCUAACUGCAUCACCUGAGCCGUCCUAUGAAGAUCCACGCCUGACCAGAUGUACUUGCACCAUGUUGAAGAUUCCCUUGCAAGCUUUUUCCUCUGUAGUCUGCAUAAUUGUUUAAUAAACCGCUCUCUCCGGGACUUGAAACCUGGAUUUCCUGUAAUCUGCAAUAAAUUUGCGUAGUCUGGGAUUUGAACCCCAGACUUGGGUGUAAAAGCCUUUAAACCUUAACCAAUAGGCUACGGUGCUUCCACAAUAGUAACUAUUUAAAGUCGUAUAUAUAGAUAAAUAAGAAUGAAAUUACACUGAAAGUUGGGUCUACUUUGUCUGUCAAUAAUAUGAAUGAUGUUCAUUGAGUUAGGCCCAUAUCAUUAAUUUGGACACGAUUGUGUGGAUAAUUAUUAGUCUGACCUUUGCUAUUGGGCUAAAAGAAAUUUAAGUGUUGAUCACAAACUUAAAGAGGUUAAUAAUACACACGUGACUUUUAUUUCAUUGCCGUCAACUGUCUGGUUUUCGACCCAUAGUGUUUUAGCUGAAACCUGAGACUCAAAUUAACCCAUGUUCGAUAAUACUUAUGGCAGAUUGACGUAUAUUUACAAGUAUUGGUUAAUAUAGCUAAUACAGAGACAUUGAUAAUUUUUGUCAUAUAUUAAUAUUGCAAAUAUUAUAUUGAAACUUAAAUUUUGACAAAUCCUACUAUACCGUCUAUGACUUGGACCUGAUAGGCACAUAACAUGCUUCCACAAAAAAAGAAUCAAAUAUUUUGUCUAAAUAAGCCUUGAUUUACUUUGUAAUUCUAUAAUUUUAAACAACAAUAAUUCUAUGACGAUGAAAAAGUGGGUCUCUCUCUCUAAAACCUCUCGAGAAAAAAAAGGAAAAAAAAAUUCUCCGAUCUUGCUUCCGGCGGCUGCUCUCCUCUUCGUCGUCGGAGGGCUUCUCAUCCCUUUUUCUCUUUCUUUUCCUUUGCGCUGCUCUCUCCUCUCUUACCCAUCUCUGAUAUGUGGUCGUCCCUAGAGCAAGAUCGUUCGCCGGCGGAGGAGCCUAGGCCGAAUCUGGUGGCCGCUUCGUCCCUCUGGUGACUUUGCGAGGAGGGUGUAGUGACGGUGGGAGGUAGGAGUUUGUUUCUGGGUAGGGUUUUCGUCCGGUCUCGCUUUGUAGAUCUCCGGCGAAACCCGUGGAAUUGCGGCGCGUGGCUUCGUAUGGUGGUUCCUUCGCCUCGGAUCUGUUCUUUCCCGGUGUUUUUCAUGUCAUUUGUUUUCCCAGCGAAGUGGCACGGCGGUCCAUGAUUCUCCAGCGCACGAGGCGUCUUGACGUUAGGUUUUGCGCAGCUCAAGGUGCAGUAGGUACAGUGUGGUUCCUCCUCUCUGGUGUGUCUGAGGCUUGGUCGGCUUCGUCGUGUGGUGUUCCGGCUGUGUCUUGCUAGACGCGUGCUUCCAUGGCUUGGGGUUUGAGUCGGAGUUGUCUAUGGCUUCGGCCCUUCCUGUGUUCAUGGUGCUUCCUUCUUGUCCUGGCCUCGGUGCUCUCCCUAAUUUACCUCAUGCUUUCUUCUUCCGGCUGCGUUUUAAUUGUCUUAGUUGUUCCGGUUUGCAAGCCGGUCAGUUUCCUGGUUCUCAGGGACUGUCCUUGUCCGGCUGGCUCUUCCUCGCCGUGGGGUCUGCGGCUCAGGCGGAGCUUCGGGUUAACUUGGUUUGAGCUCAACUUCCCAGCACUAGAUUCAGUGGCACGCACUCUGUCUACUAGUGGUUGAGGCUCUUCCGGCUUGGUUUGAGGUUACGAUGUGUGUGUGUGGAGUGUGGAGUUUGCUGCUGUUUUUUUUGCCUGUUUUGUAUAGAUCUUCGAAUAAUAUUGCUCGAUGUUGUUGUAGUGGGAGUGCUAGACUGCAGGCUUGUCUGUCUUCGGGAUGGCUGAUGCUCAGGAAGUCUUCUUCGAGCUAUUCUUGGUUGGACCAAUCAUAAAGAACGGAUCAUCAGAGAGGCUAAAUUUUAUCGGGUUCUGACUCUCGGAUUAACUGUGGUACAGUUUUUUGUGGCAAACGGUAAGCGCGGAUUGGUCGACUCCUCUCGCUAGUAGUCCGGUUUGUUCGUUUGUCCCUGCUAGGCUUCAUCGAGUAGCUGUUUAGAUUUAUUUUAUUUGUUCUGCUUCUCGUUUCCAUAGUACAUCUGUCAAAAACAAGAAAAUUGGAAAUAAUAUCUUAACAUUUUUACUAAAAAAAGAAAAAAGUAGUAAAAUAAAAUAAAAGAAUCAAUAUUUUGUCUAAAUAAGCCUUGAUUUACUUUGUAAUUCUAUCACUACUAUAUAAAAUGGACUAUUUUAAGAGUUUCUAAGGGGUGCCAGAUGGGCAGAAAUAUUCCCCACCAAUCAAUCUGCCAGAUCAUUAUCCGAGUAACCAAAUCACGCCACGUCAGCUUCGCUAUAAAAUUCCCUUCUACGAGUUUGCUCAUAAAAUUAUUGGCCCGAUCUUAAUAAACUAUCGACGAUAUUGCUUGGGCUGAUUGGGCCCAUUAUCUUUCUCCGACCCCUUCCAACAAUAUGUCAACGUCGCGUAACUGUAAACCUAAAUUCCAGGACUCUGUAAAUCGCCUCGUAACGGAGCAUCAAUUAAUCGACUUAAUGAUCAUUAAACCAUUCUUCCCACUAAUUUUCUUUCAGUUCCCCUUCCUCUUUAUCCACGGGUAUUUUGAUAACCAACUCCUAUAAAUAGGAACGUCGUCUUCUUGCAACCCGUCCCUCUCUCCAUCUCAUUCCUUAAUCUCGCUGUUAAAUUCAUACUCAACAAUGGUUAUCUCCUACCUCCUCUUCUCCGACUUUAAAUCUAGCGUUGUGCUAAGAUCGUUGAUGCACGUGUUCUUGGCUUUUGGGAGGCUUAGAUCUUGGGAGUGGACAUGCUGCUCUUAGAUGAAAUGGUAACCAUUGUUAAAAUCUUCCGUCUCUGAUUUCUGGUUUGACUACCUGAAAAUCAGCAGCCGUACAUUCAUCUUGAUUUCACUUUCUCAAACAGUCCACGACUCAUCCAAGGUUCCAUUAACCACAUUGCCUAAGCAACCUCACAAGGAGCAACCAUAACGUCAGACUAAUAUUGUGUACAUGGAGAUAUUCAACCAGUUACUACAUGAACAAAUAGGAGAUGCAGCGACUCUUUCUACUAUGGAGAGCUAAAACUAUGGCAGCGAAUAGUAGCUCAAACCACUCGCAUUUUUGUGAGAAUUGCAAAUAUUAACAAUUAAGGAAUUAUCCUUUGGGAGAACGGUAAGCAUGGCGUUCCACAUCUAAAUCGAAGAAUAACGUUAAAAGUUUGGAAACACCAAAGUAACUACGAAUACUGCAGGAGAAACAUUCGUCAGAUUGUUCAUCCCACGGCUUAUCAGCCAAUUGAUUUGUAUUAACUUUCAAAUUUGUAUUAAACAGACAAAUAUGCACCAGUUUACCUAUAUCUAAUUUUUUCAUCUCUGUGCGUUUAAAUAACUUGAUUACAUGUUCUCUACAAAUGGCCUCACUCCCUGUGCUCCCCUCCUCAUUUAUACGAAUUAGUCACUAUGGGUAGUGAAUUGUGCAAACUUUGCUGCUGCGGAAGGCAAACCGUAGAACCAAUUCCCUGAAACAAAAAAAUUAUUUGGAGGCUUUGACAAAAUGGUGAUAUGCAUGUAUCCUACACGAAGAUUGCAAUGUGCUGAUGAUAUGACAAUAUAUAUUACCAUGGAGUAUAUAUUCUAUUAAAACGAAGAAAUAUUGGUUAUAAAAAAGAAGAAGAAAUAUAUAAUAAAAACAACAUAAUGAUCACUGUUACAUGUUUUUAUAAGGUUACUUAUAUUUAUUUGAGAAAUAUAUAUUUUUUAAAAAUAAUUCAAAUGACAUCAUGUUCAGAAAAUAAAAUAUGAAUUAAAUGAGAUUAAAAAAACUCAUUUAAUAAUUUUAUAAAGCUUUGAAAUAGAUUAAAAGAAAGAGAACUUCUAAGUUGGAAAAUGUAUAAAAAAAUAUGAGGUUGUGGUUUGGUUGAGCUAAUCUGAUCAUUAAUACCUAAAAUAUAUAGAAUAUCAUAAUUUUUCUUGCUAAUGGGCAUUUAAUUAAAUAAUUUUAAUAAUUAUUUGUUAUAAUUUCUCUUAGAUUAAAAUAGCCUAAACAUUUUAAAAAUAUUAAUUAAAAUUAAUGAUAUUUUUAGGUAAUUUUUUUGAAUAGUAACCCACCCGUAGGGCGGGCAAAACCUAGUACAAUACUAAAAGGCAAAUAUAAGCCAUGGAGAAGGUGUCCACGUAGGAUAUGAAAAUUAACCAAUCAGAGAGCCCGAAGUUCCCACGUCAUCUCAUUUAUUUUUUCGUAAAAAAUGAAAAAAAACAAUCCAAAGGAAAGGAUCGAACCCGAGUUAGAAUGACAUAAAUAUAUGAUAGUUACCACUAGGCCAUUGCAACUUUCUUGGACACAUAUACAAGAAUCACUAAGUAUGUAAUCACAAACUCUUAUGUACAGUUAUAAUAAUAUGAAUUCAACUUUCAAGAC